ACACGGAAAUAUAGCACCACGCUAUCCUCGCCAUAUAUUGCAAACAUUUUCUGGGUUUUACUCGCGGGAUUCGUCAUGCCAUCUCGAUGUGUAGCGAUAUGAAUUACUCACAGGAAGACUCGAGACUCUAGGAGUGGUCCAAAAAAAAAAACUUCUCCUGCAAAGCCAUGACAGCUUUGAAAACCUACAACAAUGCAACCUUGGUUUUCCAAAGACGAAGCCAAACAUAAAAAAUAAAGUGGCGGAAACCCUCAACACGAUGAAAAAAGCGUUGCAAGUCAGUUGCCACCCAGUUUCCCAAAAUCAAGAGAGAGUGGGUCGAGUCAUAUGAUGACCGAAGUGAUGCGGUGUCCAGCGAUGACGACUGAAGAGAUCCUAUGAGGCCUGCCAGAUGCUGAAUUUCUUCCGUCUGCGACAUCAGAUGACGAUGAUUUAGGAGAAAUAAAUGUAGCAAAUUUUGAUGAUAUGAAAUCAUAAACUAGUCAUAUAUACAGUACACAUUUUUUAAAAGAAAAAUCAAGUUACCUUCAUAUUUUAAUGAUAAUGCAUUAUCUUUGUAUAGAGAACACUACAUGCUACAGAAAAGAGUAAAUACAUAUUUCCCACUGCCAUUAUCAUUUUUCAAUGUUGCGCUAGUCCGUUGCUAUCCUAACUUUGUGUUGCUUACUAAAAUUAUGCUCUUUGAUGUGUGCCGUUAUGUGCUUGGUAUAACGUGUCACAAUCUGACAACGAAAGCUAAUGCUGAUUCAACAUAAACCUGGUAUCAUUUAUUAUUGCGGCCUAUUGAAUAUUUUUUCAGAAUGUAAUAUAAUUACAAUAUAUUAUAUACCAAUAGAAUACAUUAAACAGUCAACAAAAUGUGUCAAUGUUGUUAACAAUUUAUGGUUUUAUUUUUUUAAUGAAAUUCAUGCCCCUGUCAGUGCUUCAGCCUCCGCAAGUUUGGCUCUCACGUCUGGGAUCUCCUGAUGACACAGGCAUACUCUUGGAAGGGUAAUUACUUGACGGUU